GAAAUUUCUAUAAGGAAGGGGUAAUUGUAAUACCCUGGAAUUAAGGAAAUGGAUUAGCAAAGCCCUAACUAGUUAAUUGAGUAUUAUUGUAGAAUUAUAUUAUAUUAUAAUUUAUUAUAUGCGAAUUAAUAUGAGAAAUGACAUGUUAAGACCCCGUUGGUGAGUUAGGGGCAUUUUAGUAAUUUUGACCCGAGAAGGGUAAAACUGUGAAUUUAAUUUAUUUAUGUGCUUAUGAACUAUAUUAUUAUAUAGUAUAUCUGGCGUGUCCUUUUUCAGGUGUGUUCUGACAAGUUGGCGCGGUAUAGUCACAAUCGGGUAUUUCGGGCUGAACCGGGUUCGGGGCCGAAAUAUAAUUUUGGGAUAAAUUAUUGGCAUUUUAUUUAUGUGUGAAUAAUCUGAAAUUAUUUAAAUAUGUGUUAUAUAUGAAAUGAAUUCAAUGCCCUUGAUUGUUUGAGUAUGUGAGAAAUGGCCCUAGGGGCAAAAUGGUAAAUUGUAUUUUUGGAUUUAUUUUCAACUAAAGGCAUUAUUUGUAAAAAAAUGAAAUUCAUUUUCUGCAUUUACCUUAACCCUAAAACAGCCCCCUUCCCUCUCUCUCUCUAUCUCUCUUUGUAUUUGGUUGAAAAAUUGGUGAUUUGCUUGGUAUACAAGCUUGAAAUUGAAGAAUUGUUUGAGGAGUUGUGGCUUGAUCAUUGCAUUGAAGCUUGAGGAUUACCGGCACUUGGUCAGGAGCACCCGGGGAUUUGGAAUCUCCAUAUUUGUGGGACAUCAGGAAAGGGUAAAUCUAUCUCUGAUCAGCCAUGAGUAUGGGAGUUGGGCGAUGUAUGUACAUGUUCGGGCCACACUAGACCAAGCGGGUUAGGGUCUACCUGCGUUGAAACUUUUGUAACUCUAUUUUUGCCGCUUAGGUCGGCUAAGGAGAAAAGACUUGUAAUAUUUUAUAAAAUGAUUUUUUUGGGAUCCCGAAACAUGUAACUUUUGUUUGUAAGGUUAAAAUUAUUACAAGUUUAUUUUCAUUCCGUUUUCGUUUAAAGUUUUAA